rnacentral:lncRNA from 1 species
CUCAAUCUCCUAAUUUGGGCCCAAUAAAAUCAAACUCAUAUUCCCUUAACCUAGACAAACCUUUCGUAAAAAACCUAGCGUUCUAAUAAUAAAAAAACAUUGCGGACUAAUUGGCAAAAUACAUAAAAAUACACCUAAACCUAUACCUAUACAAUAUAGACUAACGCCGAAAAAGACAAAAGGGAUAGAGAUCAGCCGUAUUCAGAACCCCAACCCAUAAAACUCCAUCUUCUUCAACCCUCCUCUCCCAAGCAAAGCUUUAUCGUCUUUUUCAUGAAAGAACCAAAGGAAAAACCCUAGACUCUAUUGAAACUCCCAGUCGCACCUCUCCAAAAUGAUCACCAAUCAGACGAUCUUCUACAGGACUCAAAACAAAAAGGCAACGACAACUUCUCUUCUGCCUUGCUCACAUCCAGCGAUACUCACCCACACCCAGAGAUAUUCCUCCAAUUCUAGUCUCGAGUUGAACCAGUUCAGGUCGCCGAUUCUAGUCCAGAUGCCUACUGUAGCUCACUUGAGAAUUUUGCUGUUUUAGAGCUCUAUUUUCAUUGUAUUUGCUCCAGAAUUUCGACAAUAGAAGGUCAGCUGAUUCAAGUUUCAUUUGUCCUGUCCGAGUUUCAAUUUGCUCGAUUUUUGGAUUUGAAAUCAGUAUAAGCUUGAUUUGUUUGUUUGGUUUUCUCUAUUUUUACUCGCUGCUUAAUGUGUCGAGAAUUUUUGUGGUGAUAUUAUUAGAGAGGCAUAAGAUCUUCUCAUCAAUAGUGAGUAAGAAGAUAAGGGAUUGAACUCUGGUGGAAAUAGGAAACUGUUAUUGCAGAAGGGAUAAGAAACAAUUAUUUUGGUGAUGUUGUUAACUGCAGAGAUGUAGGAAGGGAGAUGUAGGAAGAAGACUAUAUAAUUAUCCUAGAAUUGUUGACUAUUUUUUUUUACUUCAGCUGAUUUUGAACAAGUAGCCGCUUUAUGUUCUUUUGUAUUUACAACGUGACAAUUGAUUUGCACAAAAGUAUACUGAAAUGGACAUGAUAGGAGAAACAUUAGGAAGCUUUUCUCGUUUCUUUUAGAAGGAUGAAUUAGACAGAGCAUUAAUUUAUCUCUUAGUCUUUUUUUCAUUCCAAAUAAUACAAACCAAAGAGAAAUUCUUUUAGAAGGAUGAAUUAGACAGAGAAUUCAUUUAGCUCUUAGUCUUUUUUUGAUUCCAAAAAAUACAAACCAAAGAGGAACGUAUAUGUUCAUUUCAAUUUCAGAUUUGUGGGUCUUAAAAUGGAUUCUCCUUAAGUAUUGGAAAUGGAUUUGAAUCUGAUUGAGGUGCAAGCUGUUUGGAGUCGGUUCAUGGUUCCGUCCGCGAUUAAUCACAUUUUGAGUUUAAAACAGUGGAGCAAUCAACUUUCCGGUUAUAUUGAGGUCCAAACCUUUCAUCUUUUAUUCGUUUUAUUCAAGCUCAAUGUUAAUUGUUUGUUUGGCAAUAUAGUGUUGUUUUUUUGCUGAUCGCUACCGACUAAAUGCUGCACAAAGCUAGGGAGUGCGGGUCGCAAUAGCUUUUACCCGAAUAGUGGUUCGGGAUUGAAUUUCUACAUGGAGCUAGUAGUGGAGUUGUAUUGUCUGUUUAGUUUAGAGAUGCAGUUGUGCUUCUAAUGUCACUCCAAACAUUUUUGCUUUUCUUUGUUCUUACAACUACUAUUAUAAAACUAAUAAUUAAAUCUAAAUUAUGCUAUGAGAAUAUUGUUAAGUUGUAUUUUAAUAUGGAGAAAGGCACUAGGGUCGUGACACUACCUAGGUGGCUAAUCGAUGGGUAGAAGUUACUAUGGGUAGAUUGAUAUAUUUGGGAUUUAUGCUAUAACCGUUGCACAAUUGCACCCACUCUCACACCUCUCGGUAGAGAGAGUGAUUUUGCCCAAUUUGCUUUCUCAAGACUAAUUGGGUAGGCCAAUUAGACCAAGCAACUAGGGUGAUCACUCUCUCAAGGUUUAACCCGUUAAUUGGGACUACCAUUUCUCAUGGAUCCAUCCUUUUCAUUGUUCGGUCAAUGUUGGGGUCAUGGACUCUUUUUCUCAAGAAGAGUUAAACCCACAGAGCUAGAAUCAGUGUUUGCAACCACCAGUCAUUAAUUAACACAUAAAAUUAAUCCAAAUAACAGAUAUUUAAUAUAAACCUAACCCUAGAUAGCAAGACCCAUCAAUUACCCACACUAGGGUUGAGCCAUAACCCUAGCUAAUGGGUUUAGCUAGACAUAAUUAAAGAAGAAACAAAAGAAAUAGAUGAGGAACUAAACCUAUUAAUUAAUACCUAAGUAAAAUCUACAAUAAUAAAGAGUAAAAGUGCCAAAAAUUGGCUACAAUCUUGUUCCCAGGUGCACAGCUCCGUCAGAAUAUAAAAACUCCUCUAUAAAAUGGUAAAAUGUUCUAUUUAUACUAGGCUCGAGAAACCCGAUGAGAAUACCCCUGCGGAGUCAGUACGGACCACGCAAAAAGGAUUGCGGCCGCGCCAUCUCUUGGACUGAUGAUUUCAGCUUCUCUGAAGUUGAGGACCACGGACCGCGUAAAAGGGCAGCGCAGCCGCGGAGGGCUCUAGCGUGGGCUGUGUAAUACUGACCGCGGGCCGCGUGGCUUUCUUUUGACCAAAAUGAUAUCUCUUUGAAUCUCUUGACGCGGGCUGCAUGAAUAAGCAGCGAGACUGCGUAAGCCAAACGCGGGCCGUAUGGAUCUGACGGCGGUCGCAUUGUCAAUGUUCUGAAUAUGCCCAUCUCUGAACCUCCUAGUGCAGCCGUAUGCACUUUUCUUCGGUCCACGCUAGGUUCUCUAUUUCCUUCAAUUCACUUGGUCUUUGAUACAUGANNNNNNNNNNNNNNNNNNNNNAACUCUGAACCUCCUAGUGCAGCCGUAUGCACUUUUCUUCGGUCCACGCUAGGUUCUCUAUUUCCUUCACUUCACUUGGUCUUUGAUACAUGAGCAGGUUUCACUCUGUUUUGAGUCGAUUCUUGACAUUUUGUCCCUUUGUUGCUUAAACCUGCAAUCAAGCACAACCUGUGAGUACUUUUGGACUAUUUUUCAAUAAUUUAUACUCAAAGCAUAGGCAAGUAGGGGCAUAAAACACGUUAAAUCCUACUUAUCAUUUGUGUAAUUAUUCUUCAUAGUUUAGAAUUUGCUCGCUUAGUUGUCUGCUCGUGUUUACUUGAAUUGGUUAUGGCCGAACAUGAUUUUUUCAUAGUAUGGAAAUUGGGUUGUUGUUCAUCAACCGAACUACGCCAAAUUAGACUAAAAGGGCUCGAGUGUGCAUUUCAUAUGAUCCAACUCUAAUUUCCUACAAGGUUAAAUAAAACUUGUAGUGAAGCACGGGUGCAUUUCAUGUAGCGUAGAUUACGAUGUGUUUUGAAUAACCUUGAAUUUUCCUAAAAAUAUUAAAAGCAGUUAAAACGUUUAAAAAUGCACAUAGGUUUAAAAUAUGUGAUUAAUCAGAUAACUAGACCAUUAAUAACAACUGAUCGAUUGUGCUAAAACCACGGAACGCGGGAAUGCCUAAUACCUUCUCCCAGAUUAAUAGAAUUCCUUACCGGAUUUCUGUAUUCGUGGACUGCCAAAUAGAGUCAAUCUUUCCUUGAUUCGAGAUUUGAACCGGUGACUUGGUACUCCAUAACUUAUCCCAAGUCGCGACUCUGAAUUUUAAAUAAAUACUGUUUCGAUUGUCACUUAAAUUGAAAAAAGCUCCCUUAUACACCCUUCCCUUGGUUUAGUAAAAAAGGAGGUGUGACAGCUACGGCGACUCUGCUGGGUACAAGAACCUAGAAUCUCUGGUUCAGGUUUCAAGAAUUCGAGCUUAGAAUAAUUGUUGUAUUUGGCUUUAUUCAUUAUCUAAUUUUAUUUAUAUGUUUGGGCCUAAUGUGUUUAUUGUUGCUUUUUACCGCUUUGAUUUUAUCUAAACUGUAUAUAAACUGCUACGAAACCCCUCUCUUCUAUCUUCUAAGAAGUGCAUACUGCGUGACUUCUUUCUGUUAGUGUAUCCCAAUUUAGAAUGAGGUUCAGACAAGUUAGAAAGCCGGAUGAUGCCCCCCCCCCCCAGCUCGAGUUGUCCGCUCGUGUAAGCCAGGUCUCGAACAAAUAAACCUAGGUUUUUAAUCCUAGAAUAACUCACCCUCAUGUAGGAUCCCUAGUACAAAAGUUUAUUUGCAUCAUGUGCAUUUUGACUUUGGGGACUCAACACAGGGGUUGGGUCCGUCUAGGACAUGCAUACCCAAAAUAACAGACCAUCUUGAUGCUCCUAUGUCCUACAUGUUGCAUCUCUUCUAGGGUAAAAAGAUCAUUUGCGGACCAAUGAGGAUUGAGGAUGAAUAAAAAAAGAGGGUGAAGUAUGAAAAUAAAGCAAGUAGGGUCCAGUAAUGUUUUCUUUCACAUUUUAUUAAGAAAAAAAAAGAAGGCAAAAAACAUGGAAAAAUUCAAAAACAAACAAAAAAGAUUUUGCACUUUUUCAUUCGUUAUCAAAAAAAAAAAUUUAAAAUCAGAAACAAGGAGAAAGAAAAUCCAAAAAAGAUUUUAUAUGUUUCAUCAUUUUUCAAAAAAAAAAAGAAAGAAAAAAAUGUUUUUCUAUAAAAUUAGUUUUUUUUAAUUAUCGCCUGUUUCCAAUCUGCCUGAACUACGCAUAUCUGAUUCUCGUCUUUCGGAGUGUGAUAUGUAGGCAACUCACAUAGGAUCCGGUCUUCCUAGUAAAUCUUCUUAAGUUCUUGGAUUUGCGGGGUCUUAGCCAAAUUUUGCAUUUCUAGCCACCUUUUGGCCAUAUAAGUCACUUUGCAAAAAUAGCCUCAAUCAUGUCAUGUGUCCAAUAGGAAGAGUUAUUGUCUCACAUAGUGUUUUAGGUCUUUAACUUAUUUGGUUUGAAUUUUUGUCAUACAGGUGUGUGUCUAUUUACCGGAGUUUUAGCACGACAGAUGCCCCGGGGCCACUGUAUUCAGAAGUUGCUUAAGGAGAUUUUUAUUCGUUUUAUGUCGUCUUUUACUUUCUAGUGUUGUAUAGUAAUGUCGAGGUUUUUUUUAUUACCAUUGUAUUUCUAUUUUGCAUCUGAAAAAUUGUGUUAUAAAUCAAAAUAAAAAAAAGAGAUGUUGCAUUUUAU